rnacentral:ncRNA from 1 species
GUCGAAAAUAAAAAGCUAACUCGUAUAUCCUCGGGGAUAUGGCCCGAGAGUCUCUACCCGGACCCCGAGAAGGUCUGGACUACGAGUGGGAGAUUGCGAGAC